AUUGAACGCUGGCGGAAUGCUUUACACAUGCAAGUCGAACGGCAGCACGGGGGCAACCCUGGUGGCGAGUGGCGAACGGGUGAGUAAUACAUCGGAACGUGCCCAGUCGUGGGGGAUAACGUAGCGAAAGUUACGCUAAUACCGCAUACGAUCUACGGAUGAAAGCGGGGGACCGUAAGGCCUCGCGCGAUUGGAGCGGCCGAUGUCAGAUUAGGUAGUUGGUGAGGUAAAGGCUCACCAAGCCGACGAUCUGUAGCUGGUCUGAGAGGACGACCCGCCACACUGGAACUGAGACACGGUCCAGACUCCUACGGGAGGCAGCAGUGGGGAAUUUUGGACAAUGGGGGCAACCCUGAUCCAGCCAUGCCGCGUGAGUGAAGAAGGCCUUCGGGUUGUAAAGCUCUUUCGGCCGGGAAGAAAUCGCACAGGCUAAUACCCUGUGUGGAUGACGGUACCGGAAUAAGAAGCACCGGCUAACUACGUGCCAGCCGCCGCGGUAAGAC
rnacentral:rRNA from 1 species